GAUGAACGCUGACAGAAUGCUUAACACAUGCAAGUCUUUGGCGAAUCUGUGCUUGCACCGGCUAGCCAAGGCGGACGGGUGGGUAACGCGUAAAGAACUUGCCCUGCAGACAGGGAUAACAGACGGAAACGACUGAUAACACCUGAUACAGUUGCCGGCACGCAUGUGCCUGGCAAUGAAAAGAGAUGCUGCAGGAGAGCUUUGCGUCCUAUUAGCUUGUUGGUGAGGUGACGGCUCACCAAGGCGAUGAUAGGUAGCCGGCCUGAGAGGGUGAACGGCCACAAGGGGACUGAGAUACGGCCCUUACGCCUACGGGAGGCAGCAGUGGGGAAUAUUGGACAAUGGGGGCAACCCUGAUCCAGCAAUUCUGUGUGCACGAAGAAGGUUUUCGGAUUGUAAAGUGCUUUCAGCAGGGAAGAAGAAAGUGACGGUACCUGCAGAAGAAGCGACGGCUAAAUACGUG
rnacentral:rRNA from 1 species